ACAAAGUACAUGCAGUCCCACCUUGCUUCAAUUCCAGAAACAGGGAAAAACUGCUUUAUUUCAACAUGCCUGCGGUCCCAGCUGCCUGACUCAAACUGUCCAUCAGUAUGUAUUCUUGAGCUCAAGAAAACAGAACUCUUUACCACUUUUACCUCUUCACCAUCAGCUGUUUUCAUACCAUGAGAAAAAGAAAUGGUCCUUCAGGAACGACACAACCUUACCAGAAGAGGAGACCCUGGAGUCAUCUU